rnacentral:SRP_RNA from 1 species
GCUGGGCAUGGUGGUGCACGCCUGUAAUCCCAGCUACUCGGGAGGCUGAGGCAGGAGAAUCACUUGAACCUAGGAGGUGGAGGUUGCAGUGAGCCGAGAUGGUGCCACUGCACUCCAGCCUGGGUGACAGAGCGAGACCCUGUCUCAA